GACGAACGCUGGCGGCGUGCUUAACACAUGCAAGUCGAACGGAAAGGCCCUGCUUUUGUGGGGUGCUCGAGUGGCGAACGGGUGAGUAACACGUGAGUAACCUGCCCUUUACUUUGGGAUAACUUCAGGAAACUGGGGCUAAUACCGGAUAUGAGCUCCUGCUGCAUGGUGGGGGUUGGAAAGUUUCGGCGGUUGGGGAUGGACUCGCGGCUUAUCAGCUUGUCGGUGGGGUUGUGGCUUACCAAGGCUUUGACGGGUAGCCGGCCUGAGAGGGUGACCGGCCACAUGGGGACUGAGAUACGGCCCAGACGCCGACGGGAGGCAGCAGUGGGGAAUAUUGCACAAAGGGCGGAAGCCUGAUGCAGCAACGCCGCGUGCGGGAUGACGGCCUUCGGGUUGUAGACCGCUUUCGCCUGGGACGAAGCGUGAGUGACGGUAAUGGGUAAAGAAGCACCGGCUAACUACGUG
rnacentral:rRNA from 1 species